UACGUAGGGUGCAAGCGUUGCCCGGAUUCAUUGGGCGUAAAGCGCGCGUAGGCGGCCCGGUAAGUCCGUUGUGAAAGUCAAAGGCUCAACCUUUGAACGCCGAUGGAUACUGCCGGGCUAGAGUCCGGAAGAGGCGAGUGGAAUUCCUGGUGUAGCGGUGGAAUGCGCAGAUAUCAGGAGGAACACCAAUAGCGAAGGCAGUUCGCUGGGACGGUCCUGACGCUGAGGCGCGAAAGCGAGGGGAGCGAACAGG
rnacentral:rRNA from 1 species